UUUUAAUUGUAAUAUAUCAUUUCUAAAUUUACUUAUAGCAGAAUAACAAAUGCAAAUUUACAUUAAAAAAUCUCUUUUCCUCAUAACUUGGCCUUACAAUAAAUACACAACAUUUUCAAAUAUAGAAGCUAUAAAACAACAAAGAUUUAAACAGCAGAAAACAUUUAUCAGUUAAAUAUAUUGUUCUUGCAAGUGGUCAAUCAUAUUGGAACUCUCACAUUUCCUUUCUUUUAAAAGAGAACUACAUUGGACAAAGCAUUAAGGUAUAUGUCAUUACAAAAAUAAUGAGAUACAUAAUUACUUGCCAUAAUCCCCCUCCCCCUCCCCAAAAAAGAAACAAGAUCCUAUAGCAAUAAGAGUCAAUAUUUUAUUUAUUAGAAUAUAUUAAAAGUCUAUACACACACCUUAUCAAAAUAUUAUAGAAAACAAGAAGUUGACACCUUAAAACUUGAACAAUCCUAUCUAUUUUGUUUGAACUGCAUAAUCUGUUUUAUUUGAAAUAUUCUAAUCAAAACAAACAUGCAAACAAAAUUUUAACUGAUCACUUCAUGGUAAACUGCCUUAAAACAAAACUUUAACUUGUUACUGGACGGACUAACCACCUGGUGAACAGAGAGAGACCAAAGUACAUGAUGCCUUAUCAUAGACGCAGAAACAUAUAAUAAAAUCUAAUAAAUAUUUUGAUCUGUGCAUUAAAACUAGGGUUAUUUCAGAAACGUAAAAUUCCUAAAUAAAAAUUAAACCAUCCUUUGAUUUGUUCAAAAUAAGUGCAUAUAAUUUAAUUUAUUGUGAACAAACACAAUGCCAUCAGAUGUAUGGCUACCACUAAAACCUUUAAAGUAUUGACCAUAUACAUACCCGUAGCCAGGGGGUUGGGGGGUUCAGACGAACCCCCCUUAAAACCAAAUAAGCACUGUAAAAGUCAACGUUCUGUUCAAAUUGUGACUGUUUAAGUCGAGUUCAUGAGUCCAAAUAACCCCCCCCCCUUUCCCCCUUGGAUAUUCCUGGCUACGGGCCUGUCAUAUAUAUGAAAAGGUAGAACUGCUGAAUUCGGAAAUAACUUUAGUUCUGCCUUGGCAACAAUGAAAAUUUCAUAGAGUUCAACAGUUAUCUGUUACUGUGUUGUUACAAUCUGAACAGGAUUAUCCACUUGCAAGACAAUAAGUUAACACAUGAAAGGUUUCUUUUGUAAGACAGCUUUAUCAUCAGACACUAGAGUUUAUAAAUAAAUAUCUAUUUCAAAAUACAAUACCUAUAAAUAGAUUAUUUUAUGAUAAAUAUUCAAAACAUUUCUUCUCUCUACAAGUUUUACCUAUUCUAAUAUUUAAAUUACUAACAACAGUAUAUUAACAUCCAUACAAUUGUAUAUAUAAAUUCAAUUUAUAAAAAGGCACAUAAAACUGCAAAACAGCAAUAAAACUUGUAAAGUAAAUAAGAUAGAAGAAAAUUACAAGACAUAUUUU
rnacentral:lncRNA from 1 species